rnacentral:rRNA from 1 species
GUGGGGAAUAUUGCACAAUGGGCGCAAGCCUGAUGCAGCGACGCCGCGUGAGGGAUGACGGCCUUCGGGUUGUAAACCUCUUUCAGUAGGGAAGAAGCGAAAGUGACGGUACCUGCAGAAGAAGCGCCGGCUAACUACGUGCCAGCAGCCGCGGUAAUACGUAGGGCGCAAGCGUUAUCCGGAAUUAUUGGGCGUAAAGAGCUCGUAGGCGGUUUGUCGCGUCUGCCGUGAAAGUCCGGGGCUCAACUCCGGAUCUGCGGUGGGUACGGGCAGACUAGAGUGAUGUAGGGGAGACUGGAAUUCCUGGUGUAGCGGUGAAAUGCGCAGAUAUCAGGAGGAACACCGAUGGCGAAGGCAGGUCUCUGGGCAUUAACUGACGCUGAGGAGCGAAAGCAUGGGGAGCGAACAGGAUUAGAUACCCUAGUAGUCC